CUAUGCGCCUUGCCCAGCCCGCUCAGAAACUUAAAGGAAUUGACGGGGACCCGCACAAGCAGCGGAGCGUGUGGUUUAAUUCGUUGCUACACGAAGAACCUUACCUGGGUUUGACAUAUAGGUUGUAGGGAACUGAAAAGGGACCGACCCUUCGGGGAGCCUAUACAGGUGUUGCAUGGCUGUCGUCAGCUCGUGUCGUGAGAUGUUCGGUUAAGUCCGCUAACGAGCGCAACCCUCGUCGUAUGUUAUAUGUGUCAUACGAGACUGCCGGUAAAAAGCCGGAGGAAGGUGAGGAUGAUGUCAAGUCAGCAUGACCUUUAUAUCCAGGGCUACACACACGCUACAAUGGUCUGUACAAUGGGUAGCCAAGCCGCGAGGCGGAGCCAAUCCUGAAAGCAGGCCUCAGUUCAGAUUGCAGUCUGCAACUCGACUGCAUGAAGCCGGAGUUGCUAGUAACCGCAGGUCAGCAAUACUGCGGUGAAUACGUUCCCGGGUCUU
rnacentral:rRNA from 1 species